rnacentral:lncRNA from 1 species
AAAAAAAUUCUAAUUCUACCGUGUAAAUAUAUACACUAUAUGUAUAGGAUAUUAUAUUUUAAUAUAAAAUUCUAAUUCUACCGUGUAAAAAAAGUAAAAAGAAUUGUAACCCUAAUUCUAAUUUCUAACUAAGGCGCUGCGCCGCUCCAUUUUGAAAUCUGGAAAAAAAACCCUCUCUUUCUUCUCCACGGACGCUGCACCUGCAGGCUGCAUCGGUCCGUCUUCUCCGCUGCGGGCUGCCCGUCGGCCGUCGCCACUCGCCAGCAACUAACGUCGCUCGUCUCCAGUCGCCAGCACCCUGCCACGGCGUCGCCUCUCCUCCAACUGUCGUCUGCUGCUGCCGUAUACUAGCAGGUUAGUAUGUGAUGUCUGUUUAAGAAAUCUCCCCUUCCCUCUCCUCUGCUGCGCCGUUACUUUAUUUUUUGAAUUAUUGCAAGAGCGCAGAUAUUACAUAUUGCUGAAUGUUAUUUCUGUAUAAGAAAUCUAGUGUUUUAUGAAAUCUAAUAGCUGCAUUGAUGAAUGUGAUGUAUCCUGUAGUAUACUUUUAAUUCUUGGUAGCAUAUAAUUGGAUAUGUAAUCUAGAAAUAUGAUAUGUUUGUCAACAAGAACAUGCGGUGUUGUGCGAUUGUUUGGAAGUCAAACUACGUGUGGAAUUAAUUGAAGGCAUCUUGCUUUUCUGUGUUACUAUAUUUCAAGUAGGUUUAAUUUUCUUGAGAGGCUUGGAUUCUUUUGUCAUUGAACUAAUUAAUUCGUGUCUGUUGUGUGUGGAGUUUGGUUUUGGGGUUGGGGAAGGAAGGAAGUAAGGUCUUUAAUGGAUUAAAUUUGAAUUAAAUAGGCAGCUCACAAAAUUUGAAUCAAAUAUCUAGUGAGAUAUAUUAUAAGUGGUCAGUACUUCGACUUCGAUUUAAUUUUAUUUACUGUUAUUAUGAAUUUAGAUGGUUGGAAUUUGGAAAUGUGAAAUUAGAUUUACUGUUAUUGUGAGAAGUCUUCGGCUUAUUUAAUAUUUUUGCAGGAAUAUGGAUGCUUCAAAUUUAAUAAAGCAUACAUCUCAAGAAGAUGAGAUUAGAGAGAAAGAGCAUGAAGUGGAGAAAGAAGUGAUCAAUAUAAAUGAUAAUAAAGGUGAUGAUACAAGAGAUGGCGG